CAGUAGCCGCGGUAAUACGUAGGUGGCAAGCGUUGUCCGGAAUUAUUGGGCGUAAAGCGCGCGCAGGUGGUUUAAUAAGUCUGAUGUGAAAGCCCACGGCUCAACCGUGGAGGGUCAUUGGAAACUGUUAAACUUGAGUGCAGGAGAGAAAAGUGGAAUUCCUAGUGUAGCGGUGAAAUGCGUAGAGAUUAGGAGGAACACCAGUGGCGAAGGCGGCUUUUUGGCCUGUAACUGACACUGAGGCGCGAAAGCGUGGGGAGCAAACAGGAUUAGAUACCCCAGUAGUCCCUGUCUCUUAUAC
rnacentral:rRNA from 1 species